rnacentral:rRNA from 1 species
AUUGAACGCUGGCGGCAGGCCUAACACAUGCAAGUCGAGCGGUAGAGAGGUGCUUGCAUCUCUUGAGAGCGGCGGACGGGUGAGUAAUGCCUAGGAAUCUGCCUAGUGGUGGGGGAUAACGUUCGGAAACGGACGCUAAUACCGCAUACGUCCUACGGGAGAAAGCGGGGGAUCUUCGGACCUCGCGCCAUUAGAUGAGCCUAGGUCGGAUUAGCUAGUUGGUGAGGUAAUGGCUCACCAAGGCGACGAUCCGUAACUGGUCUGAGAGGAUGAUCAGUCACACUGGAACUGAGACACGGUCCAGACUCCUACGGGAGGCAGCAGUGGGGAAUAUUGGACAAUGGGGGCGAACCCUGAUCCAGCAAUGCCGCGUGAGUGAAGAAGGCC